rnacentral:tRNA from 1 species
UCCCUGGUGGCUCAGACGGUAAAGCGUCUGCCUGCAACGCGGGAGACCCAGGUUUGAUUCCUGGGUCGGGAA